AAAAGUAGAUAACUUAAAAUAAUAUCAUUGAUAUAGUGGAUUUUUGGACCAAACCUUAGCAUUCAUUUGAGUAGGGUAAAGUUGAAAAUGAAAACAAAACAAGCACAGUAUGGGGAAAUAUAUUUAUUCAACAAAGUGGCAGAUAUUUUGUGAUCUAAGAAUAGGACAUCUUUGUAAUGAGGCUAGUUUUUAUCUCAUCUCAGGAGGAGUUCAAAUCAAUCAACGCUGGGGCAUAAAUCAUUUUCUGAACCUGUCUGUCUGUCUAUGUAGAAUAUAUUAACACUGUUUGCACUAUUGUCCACUGCAUCGUCACUGUAUUGUCCACUGCAUCGUCGACGCGAUCGUCCGUUGCCAGGCAACGGACGACGCGAUCAUCUGUUGCCAGGCAGGUUUGGAAUGGAUUACGUAUGGAUGACGUGCCCGGUACAAAUUUGGCAACCGGUACAAACUUGGCAACCGGUACAAAUUUGGCGUGACAGCGGCAUGGAAAUCUACACUUCAGGAAAUGCAGAGGACUACUGUGUGGUGUGCUCCUUUGCUGAAAAAAUGCAGAUGAGAGCAUGUUUGAAAUGGUGCAGUGUUAAUUGUGCAGUCGAUGGGCACAUUUUGAGUGCCCAAUAUGGCCAUGACAAUAGCGCUGUAUAUGUCUGCAUGAAAUGCCUCAAAAUAAAAUUAUGAUUUCAGAA
ensembl:lncRNA